GAUGAACGCUGGCGGCGUGCUUAAUACAUGCAAGUCGAACGGACAGACCAUGAUUUUGCUGGGUGCUCGAGUGGCGCACGGGUGUGUAAAACGUGAGUAUACUGCCCUUGACUUUGUGGUAUAAUUAGGAAACUGGGGAUCUUAUACGAUAGGAGCUCCUGAAGCGCGGUGGGGGUUGGAAAGAUUCGGCGGUUUGGGAUGGUUUGGCGGCUUAUCCGCUUGUUGGUGGGGUAGUGGCUUACGAAGGCUUCGACGGGUAGCCGGCCUUAGAGGGUGACCGGGCACAUGAGGACUGAGGGACGGCGCAGUCGGCAACGGGAGGCAGCAGUGGGGAGUAUGGCACAGUGGGGGGAAGCCAGAUGCAGCAAUGCCGCGUGCGUGAUGACGGCUUACGGGGUAAAAACCGCUGUCGCAGUUAACAAAGCGGGAGUGACGGUAAUGAGUAAGGAAGCAACGGCUAACUACGUG
rnacentral:rRNA from 1 species